AACGAACGCUGGCGGCAGGCCUAACACAUGCAAGUCGAGCGCCCCGCAAGGGGAGCGGCGCACGGGUGAGUAACACGUAGGUAACCUGCCCCCCAGUCUGGAACAACUAGAGGAAACUCUAGCUUAUGCCGGAUGAGACCACGAUCCCUUCGGGGGUUGCGGCCAAAGAUGGCCUCUACUUGUAAGCUAUCGCUGAGGGAUGGGCCUGCGGGCCAUUAGCUUGUUGGUGAGGUAACGGCUCACCAAGGCUGUGAUGGCUAGCUGGUCUGAGAGGAUGACCAGCCACACUGGGACUGAGACACGGCCCAGACUCCUACGGGAGGCAGCAGUGGGGAAUAUUGCGCAAUGGGCGAAAGCCUGACGCAGCGACGCCGCGUGGGUGAUGAAGGCCUCGGUCGGUAA
rnacentral:rRNA from 1 species